AAAAGAGAGAUCAAAUGAAAAAAAAAGUAUUUAAUGAUAAUAAGAAUAAUAAAAUUUACGAAAAUAGAACCAAUAAUAUAAGAUAUUUUGUUUCCAAUCGUUUGCUUUUCAAUUUCUUUUUGUGUGUCCU
rnacentral:ribozyme from 14 species